rnacentral:rRNA from 1 species
UACGUAGGUGGCAAGCGUUAUCCGGAAUCACUGGGCGUAAAGCGCGCGCAGGCGGUCAUCUACGUCUGGGGUGAAAGCCCGGAGCUCAACUCCGGGAUUGCCUUGGAUACGGGAUGACUUGAGGAUCGGAGAGGCAAGGGGAAUUCCACGUGUAGCGGUGAAAUGCGUAGAGAUGUGGAGGAACACCUGUGGCGAAGGCGCCUUGCUGGCCGAUUUCUGACGCUGAGGCGCGAAAGCGUGGGGAGCAAACAGG